rnacentral:ncRNA from 1 species
AGAGGAGUUCGCGGGAGCCUCCCAACGAGGCUGAGAGGGCGUAAGAGCCGACCGUCAGACCUGAUGCGGAUCAUGCCGCCGGAGGGAGAAGCUUUGAACGUCAU